GCCUACGGCCAUACCACGUAGAAUGCACCGGUUCUCGUCCGAUCACCGAAGUUAAGCUGCGUCGGGCGUGGUUAGUACUUGCAUGGGAGACCGGCUGGGAAUACCACGUGCUGUAGGCU
rnacentral:rRNA from 1 species